CCAGCAGCGUGUGCCCUCACCCUCGCCCUCCCCGCAGGGAUGGUGGUGGGACCCUCGUGGGGCGCGCCCCUGCCGCCCCCCACCAUGCCCGCCGCCCUUCGCCUGCUCUGCGGGGUGGUGGUGCCGGCUGCCCUGCUCUGCGCGGAGCCCCUGCCCCGCGUCACCUUCCCCAGCGGGGACCCCCGGCGGACCCUCACCCACUUCAGCCAGGACAACGUCUCCCAUUAUGACAUCUUCCUCCUGGGUGAGAGCGAGGAGGAGCUCUACGUGGGGGCACGCGACUGGGUGCUGGCCCUCGCUGUUGGCACCCCUGGCAGCAUCCGUGCCAAGGCCUCGAUAAUGUGGGGACCCACAGAUGAGAAAACCUCUGAAUGUGCUUUCAAGAAGAAGAGCCAAGAGACUGAGUGCUUCAACUUCAUCCGAGUCCUGGUGGCCCUGAACCAGACCCACCUCUACGCCUGUGGGACCUACGCCUUCAGCCCCGCCUGCACCUACAUUCACCUGGAGAACUUCACGCUGGUGGCCAGUGGCAGAGGACAGUCCUUCCUGGACGGGAAGGGCCAGUGCCCCUUCGAUCCCCAGCACACUUACACGGCCCUGCUGGUGGACGGAGAGCUCUAUGCUGGCACCAUGAACAACUUCCAGGGCAACGAGCCCAUCAUCUCCCGCUCGCUGGGCACCCGCACCCUGCUCAAGACAGACGCCUUCCUCCGCUGGCUCUCGGCCGACGCCGCCUUCGUGGCCUCCUUCAGCAUCCCUGGGGAUGACAAGGUCUACUUCUUCUUUGAGGAGACAGCAGACGAGUUCGACUUCUUUGAGAGGCUCCUGGUGCCACGGGUGGCCCGUGUGUGUAAGAGCGAUGUAGGGGGGGACAAGGUGCUGCAGAAGAAGUGGACAACUUUCCUGAAGGCGCAGCUGGAGUGCUCCCAGGCUGGCCGCUUCCCCUUCAACGUCAUCCACCACGCCUUUGCCCUGCCCCGCCACGACGGCGGCGCCGACUUCUACGCAGUGUUCACCUCGCAGUGGCAGGCGGGCAGGGCGGGCAGCGCCGCCGUCUGUGCCUACAGACAGGAGGAUCUGGAGGAGGUCUUCGAGGGCAAGUACAAGGAGCUGAACAAGGAGAGCUCUCGCUGGACCGUCUACAGUGGCCCCGACAUGAGUCCCCGGCCUGGCAGUUGCUCCAUGGGUGCCUCCUCGGACAAAGCCCUCUCCUUCAUGAAGGACCAUUUCCUGAUGGACGGGAAGGUGUCACCCCUCCAGGAGCAGCCUCUCCUGGUGAAGUCGGAUGUCACCUACACGCGCAUCACAGUGCACGAGACUCGCAGCGUGCAGGGGACCCCCUAUCGUGUCAUGUUCCUGGCCACAGCCCAGGGUUUCCUGCACAAGGCAGUGCAGCUGUCGGGGGGUGCCCACAUCGUGGAGAGCAUCCAGCUCUUUGCAGUGCCAGAGCCAGUGAGGAACCUGCUGCUGGCACCAGGGAAGGGCAUCCUCUAUGUGGGCUACUCCAGAGGCGUCCUGCAGGUCCCGCUGGCCAACUGCAGCCUGCACCGGAGCUGCGCCGAGUGCGUGCUGGCACGGGACCCCUACUGCGCCUGGCACAGCCCGGAGGGCUCCUGCCGGCCCGCCCGCCUCGCCACCGAGAACACGAGUGCGUGGCUGCAGGACAUUGAGAAGGGGAGCCCGGUCACCACGUGCCACCGAGGGAGGAGCGCAGCCAUGCCCCGCUCCUGGGGGGCACCGGAGGACCCCGCUGUCCAGGGGCUCAGCCCCCCGCUGAACGCCGUGGUCCAGCUGCCGUGCCCCCGCCGCUCUGCCCUGGCCACCUACAGCUGGCAGCAGCCCGACGGUGCCCGGGGGCACACGGUGCUGCAGCCUGACCACACGCUGGUGGUCAUCAUGCAGCAGGGAAUGGCCGGCACCUACAAGUGCCAGGCCACAGAGAAUGGCUACACCUGGACCGUGGCUCACUACCAGCUCGGGGACUCUGGGGGGGACGGGCUGGCGGAGCAGGGCUCGGCCCCCCGCUCGUACUGGCCGCAGUUUGUCACGGUGGCCGUGCUGCUGGCCGUGACGCUGGCCAUGGCCGCCUGCCUGGCCCUCCUCGCCUGCCGCGACCAGCUCAGGGCUCGCAGCAAGGUGCGGGGCUGCGGCGCGCCCCACAGCCCCCCGUCCCGCCACCGGGAGAAGGUGCCCCUCAAUGGGGGCACCGGAGAGCCCCCGGCACCCGGAGCUGCCACCGAGGAGGAGGAGGAGGAUGAAGGCUCCCAGGCUUGCUGCCUCCAGCUCGAUGGGGACAUCGACGUGGACAACAACCGGCUCCACGUGCCAGCGGGGGACACGGCGUGACACUGCCAAUCCUGGAACUGAAAAGUGAUGUCCUGACACCUGGGAGCAUGACAGACCUGGAAUGACUGGGGAGAAGCUGCUUUCGUUGGCCAUCCCUGAUCUUGCGUGCCCAUUAGAAGGUGCCAGCACUUGCAGUCUGCUU